rnacentral:lncRNA from 1 species
CUUUAGUACAGCAUCUCCUGUUCACCAGAAUCUGGCACUUCAGGAGAGUAUCCUAUGUGUAAGGGGCUGCAGUCCUGAUUUCCUCAAGAUGAGAAGAUGAUGGAUGAAGAUGUUAAAUUAACCAUGGUCAAAACAGUUUCAUGACAAAAUCAAACAGGUAUAUAUAAUUGGUAUACUUAUUUAUUUGUAUAUUUUUGUCUUGACAUUUUAAGCGCAUACUAGUUUUGCUGUCUGUGUCAUUUUCCCCAGAUCUUUCUAUUAAACAUUAAAAAAUUU